GCCAGCAACUAUAUCACCCUGCAGCUCUCAUCUGGCUACCCACUGAAGCUCAGCAGGGUUGAUCCUGGUCAGUACCUAGUUGGGAGUCCUCCUGGGAAUCUAUGGUUGCUGCUGGAA
rnacentral:rRNA from 1 species